rfam:Gossypium raimondii scaffold_136_contig_9, whole genome shotgun sequence.
GGGUGCGAUCAUACCAGCACUAAUGCACCGGAUCCCAUCAGAAUUCCGCAGUUCAGCUUGCUUGGGCGAGAGUAGUACUAGGAUGGGUGACCUCCUGGGAAGUCCUCGUGUUGCACCCC